rnacentral:lncRNA from 1 species
AUGUACUAUAAAUCAAUAUUAAAUACUUGUAUUAACAUAAUUGUCAUGGCCACUGUUGUGGUGCUGUGUAUUCUGCCCCUGUGUUGGCCACGCCCCCUGUCUGUCUCUGCCUUGCCUGCCACUCAACUGCUCACAUACACGUGGUUUCCCUGCAGUCAUCGCCAGAUCGUACUUCGUGUUACCGUGCCUGCAGUCUUCACUCCCUCCAGCCCGAUACGCCCCAGUCCAACCAACCUCCUGCUUCACUCCUAGCUGAACUAAAUAAACCUGUUCACCGUCACUCCAACUCCUGUCCUGUCUCCUGCUCUUGGGUCCAGCAGCUAACGCUACCCUAACAAUAAUGGCACACUUAAAAAGUACUAAAUAUAGUCAGAAUGUGUAUUAGCUUCUCUGCGGUGCACAGCUAGCAGGGUAGUGCUAGCACAGCUUUUGUUUAUCUUUAUUUUUCCCUUUUAUUAUUGUUAUUUAGUUAACUUGUUAAAGAGUGUGACUAAAAAUAAUUCUCUGGGGUCAGAUGAUCCAAAUUUGAAUAUAAAUGUUACGAUGAAGAGAAACUGUUUGAAAAUGUUGUUUAAGAUGUUGUUAAAGAUGUAUUUAAAUGUACUUUAUUAUGCACAUUUUCCCUGUCAUGCCGUGCAUGUUAAAAAUAAACUUUUCUACCUCAAGUAUGUUCUAAAUAUUUUUUAUGUUUACUUAAAAGUAAUUUGAAAUUCAAAUUAAUUAUAGAAAAAAUAUACUUUCUGUGUACUUUAAAAGUGCUAACAAUAUACUUAGUAUACUAAUGAUAUAUCAUGAGUGCUACUUUAGACAUACUAAAGUACAACUUAGUGUACUUAUCUGAGACAACAUUAAGAUGAACUAUAGUAUGCUUUAGUACAACUUUUUAAUUUUUAUUUGUUUUUUGUAAAUAUAUUUAAAAUACAAUGGCAAUACAUUAUGAUUAAAUUAGAAAUAUACUUACAGUAUAUUCUAAAUGUAUUAAUAGUCAUCUUAAAAGUGGAUUUAAGUAUACUUUAAAUCGAACUAAAGAACAUUAUAAAUAAGUACAGUAUUAGUAGAGAAAAGUGUACUUAAGUACAUUUAAGUUCAACUUAAUGGUGUCUCAAAAAAAGUACAGUCAAGUACACUAACAUGUAUUUUAGUAUAUCUUAGGUAGCAAUAAUGAUAUAUCAUUAGUAUACUAAGUACGUUUUUAAGUACUCGAAAAUAACACACUUUGAGUACAAUAAUUUUGUGCUUAUGAAGUACACUAAGUGUGCUUAAAUUUAGUAUGUUAAAGUAUACUUUUUUUUCGCCUGGGUAAGCAUUCACUGUUUAGUCUGAGAGUAAAUAAGUUCAGUUGGACCGUUUUAAUUUUCUAUGAAUACUUGUCAAAUUUAAGAUGAGCCUCCAGCAUUAAUCUUAAAUAUUUGACCACGGACACCUGGCUGAUUGGCAGAUUUUUUAUCUUAAUAUUUAGAGCAGUCGUGCUUUUUCGAGCAGUCGAAAAAGAUGCAGAGGAGAGCAUGAUUGAAAUGGUAAAGUAUAACAUAAUAUGUGCUUUGUAUUAUCAAUUGACUCAAAUGAGAGUGCAUAUUACCAUACAAUGUAUGUUAUUGUAAAUUUUGAUUGAUGCUCUUUAUUUAUUUUGGUAAGUAAAGUGUGAAUUGUGCAGUAGGUGGGCACAUUUUGAAUGUACCCAAUAUGGCCACGACGUGAGCACUAUAUAUCUGCAUGAAAUAUAUAUUGUUAUUUUAUGAUCUUUUGAACAAUUAUUAUCUAUUGCGUAUAAAAGCUUGCCCAGACAGAAUCCCAUGCACAAAUGCAUAGAGCAAGCUCUACCAAUAUCGUACUACACUUUGUUUGUACAAAUUAUUUAGUUAGUUUAAUUGGUUAUUGAUGCUUUGGCAAAAAUUGUUGUGAUAUUCCUGCCAAUAGAGCAAAUUU